rnacentral:rRNA from 1 species
CCUACGGGUGGCUGCAGUGAGGAAUAUUGGUCAAUGGGCGGAAGCCUGAACCAGCCAAGUAGCGUGCAGGAUGACGGCCCUACGGGUUGUAAACUGCUUUUAUACGGGGAUAACACGCUUCACGUGUGGAGGUUUGCAGGUACCGUGUGAAUAAGGGCCGGCUAAUUCCGUGCCAGCAGCCGCGGUAAUACGGAAGGCCCGGGCGUUAUCCGGAUUUAUUGGGGUUAAAGGGAGCGUAGGCCGGAUGUCAAGCGUGCCGUGAAAUGGCCGCGCUCAACCCGGGCCCUGCAGUGAAAAUUGGACUGCUUGAGUGCGCGGCAGGCAGGCGGAAUUCGUGGUGUAGCGGUGAAAUGCUUAGAUAUGACGAAGAACCCCGAUUGCGAAGGCAGCCUGCGGGAGCGCGACUGACGCUGAGGCUCGAAGGCGCGGGUAUCGAACAGGAUUAGAUACCCGAGUAGUC